UACGAAGGGUGCAAGCGUUGUUCGGAAUUAUUGGGCGUAAAGCGCGCGCAGGCGGAUUGAUCAGUCAGGUGUGAAAUCUCGAGGCUCAACCUCGAAACUGCGCCUGAAACUAUUAGUCUAGAGUGUCGGAGGGGGUAGGGGAAUUUCACGUGUAGGGGUAAAAUCCGUAGAGAUGUGAAGGAACACCGGAGGCGAAGGCGCCUACCUGGACGACUACUGACGCUGAGGCGCGAAAGCGUGGGGAGCAAACAGG
rnacentral:rRNA from 1 species